GACGAACGCUGGCGGCGUGCAUAAUACAUGCAAGUCGAACGCAGGGGGGACGGGUGAGUAACACGUGGGUAACCUCCCAUCAGAGGGGAGAACACUUGGAAACAGGUGCUAAACCGACAAUGAUGGGUGGAGCCGCGGUGCAUUAGCUAGUUGGUGAGGUAACGGCUCACCAAGGCCACGAUGCAUAGCCGACCUGAGAGGGUGAUCGGCCACACUGGGACUGAGACACGGCCCAGACUCCUACGGGAGGCAGCAGUAGGGAAUCUUCGGCAAUGGACGAAAGUCUGACCGAGCAACGCCGCGUGAGUGAAGAAGGUUUUCGGAUCGUAAAACUCUGUUGUUAGAGAAGCGGUAUCUAACCAGAAAGCCACGGCUAACUACGUGCCAGCAGCCGCGGUAAUAC
rnacentral:rRNA from 1 species